rnacentral:rRNA from 1 species
AGAGUUUGAUCCUGGCUCAGGAUGAACGCUGGCGGCGUGCCUAACACAUGCAAGUCGAGCGAAGCACUUCAUUAGAACUCUUCGGAGGGACGAGGAAGUGACUGAGCGGCGGACGGGUGAGUAACGCGUGGGCAACCUGCCUUACACAGGGGGAUAACAGUUAGAAAUGACUGCUAAUACCGCAUAAGACCACAUUGCCGCAUGGCAGGGUGGUAAAAACUCCGGUGGUGUAAGAUGGGCCCGCGUCUGAUUAGGUAGUUGGCAGGGUAGAGGCCUACCAAGCCUACGAUCAGUAGCCGGCCUGAGAGGGUGGACGGCCACAUUGGGACUGAGACACGGCCCAAACUCCUACGGGAGGCAGCAGUGGGGAAUAUUGCACAAUGGGGGAAACCCUGAUGCAGCGACGCCGCGUGAGUGAGGAAGUAUUUCGGUAUGUAAAGCUCUAUCAGCAGGGAAGAAAAUGACGGUACCUGACUAAGAAGCCCCGGCUAACUACGUGCCAGCAGCCGCGGUAAUACGUAGGGGGCAAGCGUUAUCCGGAUUUACUGGGUGUAAAGGGAUCGUAGACGGAGGAGCAAGUCUGAUGUGAAAAUCCGGGGCCCAACCCCGGAACUGCAUUGGAAACUGUUUAUCUAGAGUGUCGGAGAGGCAAGUGGAAUUCCUAGUGUAGCGGUGAAAUGCGUAGAUAUUAGGAGGAACACCAGUGGCGAAGGCGGCUUGCUGGACGAUGACUGACGUUGAGGCUCGAAAGCGUGGGGAGCAAACAGGAUUAGAUACCCUGGUAGUCUACGCCGUAAACGAUGACUACUAGGUGUCGGGAGGCAAAGCCUUUCGGUGCCGCAGCCAAACGCAAUAAGUUAGUCCACCCGGGGAGUACGUUCGCAAGAAUGAAACUCAAAGGAAUUUGACGGGGACCCGCACAAAGCGGGGGGAGCAUGUGGUUUAAUUUGAAGCAACGCGAAGAACCUUACCUGGCCUUGACAUCCCGAUGACAUCAGGGUAAUGCCUGGUUCCCUUCGGGGCAUUGGAGACAGGUGGUGCAUGGUUGUCGUCAGCUUGUGUCGUGAGAUGUUGGGUUAAGUCCCGCAACGAGCGCAACCCUUACCUUCAGUAGCCAGCAUUUAAGGUGGGCACUCUGGAGGGACUGCCAGGGACAACCUGGAGGAAGGUGGGGAUGACGUCAAAUCAUCAUGCCCCUUAUGGCCAGGGCUACACACGUGCUACAAUGGCGUAAACAGAGGGAAGCGACCACGCGAGUGUGAGCAAAUCUCAAAAAUAACGUCUCAGUUCGGAUUGUAGUCUGCAACUCGACUACAUGAAGCUGGAAUCGCUAGUAAUCGCGGAUCAGAAUGCCGCGGUGAAUACGUUCCCGGGUCUUGCACACACCGCCCGUCA